rnacentral:rRNA from 1 species
UGGGGAUUAUUGGACAAUGGGCGCAAGCCUGAUCCAGCCAUGCCGCGUGUUUGAAGAAGUCCUUAUGUUUGUAAAUCACUUUAAGCGAGGAGGAGGCUACUUUAGGUAAUACCUAGAGAUAGUGGACGUUACUCGCAGAAUAAGCACCGGCUAACUCUGUGCCAGCAGCCGCGGUAAUACAGAGGGUGCAAGCGUUAAUCGGAUUUACUGGGCGUAAAGCGCGCGUAGGCGGCUAAUUAAGUCAAAUGUGAAAUCCCCGAGCUUGACUUGGAAAGUGCAUUCGAUACUGGUUGGCUAGAGUGUGGGAGAGGAUGGUAAAAUUCCAUGUGUAGCGGUGGAAUGCGUAGAGAUCUGGAGGAAUACCGAUGGCGAGGGCAGCCAUCUGGCCUAACACUGACGCUGAGGUGCGAAAGCAAGGGAAGCAAACAGG